UUCGCAAUGCCCGAAAGGGUGACGAAGCGACGCCGCGUGGGUGAGGAAGGUCUUCGGGUUGUAAAGCCCUGUCAGGAGUUAAGAAAUGUAGAUACGCUAAUAUCGUAUCUAUUUGACAAAGGCUCCAAAUGAAGCCACGGCUAACUCUGUGCCAGCAGCCGCGGUAAUACAGAGGUGGCAAGCGUUGUUCGGAAUUAUUGGGCGUAAAGAGCACGUAGGUGGAUUUGUAAGUCAGACGUGAAAGCCUUCUGUUCAACGGAAGAAUUGCAUCUGAAACUGCAAACCUUGAGUAUAGGAGGGGAGAAUGGAACUUCUGGUGGAGCGGUGAAAUGCGUAGAUAUCAGAAGGAACGCCGGCGGCGAAAGCGAUUCUCUGGCCUAUUACUGACACUCAGUGUGCGAAAGCUAGGGGAGCAAACGGGAUUAGAUACCCCGGUAGUCCUAGCCGUAACGAUGGGCACUAAGUAGAGGGGUUUUA
rnacentral:rRNA from 1 species